CAGAAGGAAACAGAAGCACCAGGAAGAAUCCACUGUAAUCCGUGGCACAUGGUCAUCUGAGGAUAAAAACCUACAUCCCAUAGGCAGAGCAUCAGUGUUUCACCCAUCCGGUUCCCUUAAUAAAGCAUCCAGAUCUACGAACACAAUCUGCUUUAUUGGAGGAUAAGUGGGUUUAGCUGCAUGUCAAGCUGCACACAGAGUAAGGAUAGAACAGCUACCUAUGGCUGCAAAAGCUGAAGCAUGAAAAAAACUAGACAGGAAGAAAAUCAACACAUUUGACUUGUAAUGUUGGAAAAGGCUCCUGCACAUUUUUUGGACAGCAAAGGUGACAGACAAGUAAGCACUGGUGCAUAUAAAAUCAGGCAUAUCACUGGAAGGCAAAAAUCACAAAAUUCUACCUUACUUAUUUCAGUCAUGUCAUGCAAUCAAACUCACUGGAAAAGAUAGUUAUGCUUGGAAUGGUAAGCAGUAAAAGGAAACAAAGCCAUCAAAAAAAAACCCAACAACACAGUGGCUAGACACUGCCAGCAUAAAACAGUGGAAACAUAGGAAAGAAGCUGUACAAAUCAGAAAAUGUGGCCCAUAGAGUUGCCAAGAAUCAGACAUGAUUGAAUGGAUAACAUCACCAUAGUCUUGGACAUUUUAUUCCUUUGGUUGUUUGCAUAAGUCAUCAAAAACAAAUAAACAAAACAGGAGAGAUGCAAAUUAUGAUGCAAAUCAUGAUGCUAUUAUGAUCCUGAGACUCAGCAAUCUCACAGCACAAGGCCAGCCUAUGACAUUUUGUUCUUUAAAGGGAAACAUCAAUUGCAUCUCUUUAUUCCUCAUUAAACCUGCUGAAUGACAACCUGUAUUAUAUUGGCAGGAUUUGCUAUUUUUCCAUGACAGGAUUUGCUAUUUUUCCAUGACAUGCAACAUCAACUGCCUGAAGGAUUUGCAUCAUUUUGCCUAAGAAUAAGGCUGAUCUAGUAACCUUUUUUAAAAAAUAAAGUAGCUCUGCAGGAGUUUUAGAUCAGAGACUAAUUAGCCUUUUCGUGCUUCUUUCAUAUAGCUCCUGGGAAGCUUCAGUCCACUGAAAGAGAAGUGAAAUUAUCUCAGUUAAGUUUACAUUCCAUGGUAAAUUCACCCAAGGGACCAUUCCUGAUUCAGUACCCAUUUUCAGCUUUUUUUUUCAACCUUGGACAUUCCAGAAAUGUUGUGUUUAGAAUUUCAGCCACUGCAAAAGAUUGGCAGAAACACAAUUAUUUCAUUAUAUAAGAUAAAGUUUGUUGGAUGCCAUCAUUAGUAAGAUGUUAAUGUCACUUGCAUGAUUAGGGAAAUGGCAGAGAUAUAAAUAUAUGCAUUAUAUAAAUAAGCUUUUAAUAGUAUGCAAAAACAUGAGACAGAGAUGUAGAAUAAAUAUAAAUAAUAUAAAUAAAGCAUAUGUUAUAUGUUAAACAGAUGGGAAAGUUUACACAGAUACAUAUAUUGAGACUGUUAUUGCUGACAUCUUUCCAGAUUCCCCAUAUAAGAUUAGGAUGAAUUGGUGUGCAGUUAUUUUGGAGAAUAUUGGCUAGGAAUUCAAGCUAACAUCUAAGAGUUCCAUAAAGCAACACCUUUAGGAGAAAACACACUGAGACCUAUACCUUUUCUUAUUCUCUCAUUCAAGGAAUGUUUCUUAAUUCAACCAAACUAAAACUGAAUUCUAAAUGAGGAUUAGGUAGCAAGGCCAGUUCUCCCCUAUACUAAAUGAAUUUUCAGAACAUCCUAUCCUGUCCUUGUUGAUAUAUAUGUAGAUAAAAAGGUACCACAAAACAUUUACAGAGCAAGCCUGUAAAUGCAUGUUAACUUAGAACUAGUCUCUCCUGUGCAUUAAGAAGCUUGCUUGUGACAGUGUGGUUAGGAUUUACAGUUCAUAAUGUUAAAGAUUUGGAUUUAGAACCUGACUCUGCAUAACUAAUACCAAUGUUACUACAGAAGAAGACCUUUGGAAUUCUAACAAUUCCCCCAGAAAUGUAUAUAAGCACUAAUGAAUUAUAAUAAUAGAAAAUUAAUAAAAUACUUUUAAGGGUAAAAAAA